AGCCCUUCUGUCAUCUUCUUGCACAUCACAGUUCAUCUUACCAAUUGGAAAAGACCCAGUAACCAAUCUCUUCUACACUUCAAUCGGCAUAGGAACACCUCGACACAACUUUGAUGUAUUGAUUGAUCUUGGAGAAUCAAUGCUAUGGUAUGAAUGCAACAAUAACUACACUUCUUCAACCUUCAAUCCUCUCCCUUGUCAAUCCAAACUUUGCCCUUGGAAAAACCAAUGCACUGAAUGCAACGCCCCUUUGAGAUCACCAGGUUGCUCCAACAACACAUGUGAUACUCCCAUAAGCAAUCCAUUCGGUGUUUUACUGUUCUCGGGUGAAACUGGUGAUGAUGUUUUGUUCAUAUCAAACUCAAAAGUCUCUGGACUAUUUUCUGGUUGCACUGACUCAGAUUAUUAUCAUCUUGAUUUUCCUAUAAGUAAAGCCUUUCCUAAAGCUAGAGGAAAUUUAGGCCUUGGAAGGACACAGUUUGCAUUACCAACACAGUUAUCAUUAUCUUCUCAUAAACUUCAUUUGUCAUAUUGUUAAUUUCUAAAUCAUAUUGAAAGGUAAUGUGUUUAUUGACAAGUUGGUGAAAUAAAUAUUUCACAUAAGUAAUAAUAAACUCAAGUGAACAUAUCACAAUGGUUACUAGUUAUAACCAUGGUAAAAUAUAGUACGCUAAGUCUUUCACUAAGAUGGUAACAUUCAACCGUGGUAAAGUGUUGAAAAAUCUCUCAAAAUUCGGGCAAUGGGUAUCAAACCCCUGACCUCUAUUAGUGCGUGAGACACUUUGAGUGACAGAAGAAAUGAGAAAGAGAAUAAAAAGUAAUUGAUGAAUUGUUAUUAUUGAAAGUUAUAUAAAACUAAAUUACAAUUAUUUGUAUAUAUAAAACUAUGUUACUUAUAUACUAAGUAACUAACAUAACAAAUCAUAACCCUAACUAACUUGGGCUUGAACUCUAACUUGAUUUGCAUCACAACAUACUCCCUUAUAAUCCAAGUAGCCGAACACAAACUAAUCAUAGGCGAUCUGAACCAUUCCUAAUUUUUUUCUCAAAGUUAAGAAUCUGUCUAUCUUCAGCCCUUUGAUGAAAAUGUCAGCCAAAUGUGCUUCACUCGAGCAAUGCCUAACUUCAAGUUCACCCUGGUUUACCUUUUCCCUUAGGAAAUGAAACCUAUUCGCAAUGUUCCUACUCCUUUCAUGCAGAACUGGAUUCUUUCCAAGAUUAAUGGCUGACUUGUUAUUGAUCUGCAACAUCAGAGGUUUCUUCACUUUGACCUCCAUCUCUUCCAACACAUAUUUAAUCCAAAUUUCUUGACAAGCAACAUAGUAUCCUAUUAUAUAUUCAGCCUCACAUGAUGAUAAUUCCUCCAUAGGUUGCUUUCUUGAGCACCAUGAGAUUGGGACACCAAAUACUUGAAAGACACAAGGCAAUAUUAGUAGAAAGAUUGGAGAUUGUCUAUUUCCUCCAAUGGUAUGAUCUUCAAAUGGGCCACAUACAUCUGAAUGUACUAAUUCUAGUAUGCAAGAGGACCUCAUUGGCAUAGUCGAAACGAAAGACUUUAUGGAUUGAAUAUAAUACGUAAUACUUGACAAUUUGACGACUUUAACCUUCGCAACAUCUACAAUUUGACAACUUUAACCUUCCCACCCCCUUCGUAAUACUUGACAAUAAUAUCCCAUGCCUCAUUCGUCGAUUCGACAUGAGAAAUCCAAUCAAAGUUCACCAUAUCAACUGUAGAUUGAAUACAAUACACAACCUUGCAAUCUUUCUUCUUCAAAUCCUUGUGAUUGGCUCUCUGAGCAUCGAUUACAUUGUCAGCAAGCUCAGGGAUGCCAUUGUUGGCCACUUCUAGGGUUUUAUAAAAAUCGAAUAAAGACUUCAUCUACUUACUCCAUCGGUUCCAAUUUUUGCUGUCAAGAAUUGGAAGAGAAUUCAGAAUGUCAUUGGUACCGUUCAUCUCUAUAAUAACCGCGAUUCAUGAUCCCUAGAAGCAUGACCAUCAAAAUGAAUUUCUUGAAAACACGAUCAAGAGUGGGAACCAUAAGCUCUAGAUACCGAUUUGUUAGUGCAUGAGUCACUUUAAGUGAGAGAAGGAAUGAGAAAGAGAAUGAAAAGUAAUUGAUGAAUUGUUAUUAUUAAAAGCUAUAUAAAACUAAAUUACAAUUAUGUGUAUAUAUACAACUACGCUACUUGUAUACUAAGUAACUAACAUAACAAACCUUAACCCUAACAAACUUGGGCUCAGGCUACAACUUGGAUUAUAUCAUAACAACCUCCAUGUUUUACUACAAUUGGUUUUUACAAUCAUAGUGAUAUGUACGCGGUAUUGGGUUCUUACUACGGUUAUCAGCUCGUAGUGGUAAGGCUGACAGAUACUACCACACCCUAUUAUGUUACCAUGCUUGGUGAACCGUGAUAGUAUUAUUUUUUAACCGUGGUGGAAAAACCUUUUCGUAAUAGUGAAAUCAGAUUCACACAAUUAAUCGAAAUGGAAAAAUUAUCCCAAAGUCACGUGACUUACCCACUUCAAACUCACUUGACUCGUUCCCUAAUUUUAUCGGGGAAUUUAUUCAUGCAUCCUAUAUAUUAUUUAGACACCACAUGAAAAUACUAAAAUUCCCCCAGAUUCUGGAGAUGUCAUCUCCAACGCAUCCAACUCUGAGUUAACGUUAAAAAAUAUUUCGGAGAUGCAUCUUCAAAUUUAUUCAAGAGAUGCAUCUCUGAAGGUAUUAAAGCUUAAAUCGUGCAAGAACCUUCUCUCCUCAUUUUGAAAAAUCUCAAAACCUCUUCAAACUCUCUCAAUUUAUUUAUCACCAAAUCCAAAAUCAAACAACUAAGCUCAAAGGAUCUUCAAUCACCAUUAAAUCAUCCAACCUAGAAAAAAAAGCAAAAGUGAAUUGUAAUGUUUUUUGAUGUUUUGAUAAGUUUUUUGAGUUUUUGUGUAAAUGAGAUGAAAAUGAUGAUUUAGGUAUCAAAUGAGUAGGAAAUGUAAGAAUGUUAGUUUAUAAAUGUUGUAAAACAUGUUUGUUUUUUUAAAUCAUGAUCAAACCGUUUAUUUUAAGGUUUGCAUUUCUGCAUUGCCGCCAUUGCUGAACUAGAGAGUUGCAAAAAAUUAUGGAGAUGCAUCUCCGAAAAUUUUCAACGUUUAGUUUCCAUGUAAUCGGAGAUGCAUCUCCGGAAAUUCUCAGUCUAUUUUUUUGCUUUUCUUGUUUGUAGUGUUGCUUGCUUGCACUAAUUGUUUGGUUUAAUUUAACUUACAUGCAAUUUGGCUUAUAAACACGAUAGCUUGAGGCACAAGAGGAUUGCACAACAGAGAUCAAUGUGAUGGGAGAAGAGUCUGAUUCUAGAGGUUUCUGUUCAAUCUUUCCAUGCAGAGACAUCUACUUCUAGGGCUCAUGCUUCUCCAUCUUUUUCUUCCCGUAGGAGACAGGUUUCACCAACUGACACAUCACUCCUUUCAGCCUCCCGCAAGCACCAGGUUUCACCUAUUCAGGCGCCAGAAGUACCCGAGUCACCGGUGGUAUCGGAGGCACCAGUGCCACCUCCAAUGGAUGAUGCUUCUGAACUAGUACCACUGACUGAUAUUGAUGUUGUCGAACCAGUGUCAACUUCGGAUGGUGAGGCUACUGAGCAUGUUGAGUCAGAGCCAUUUGGAGAAGGCCAUGUAGAGUUGUCAUUACUGCCUCUGUAUCCAUACUAUAUUGCGAGACAUAUUUGGGACAGAGAGGUAGCAUUAGUUGGAUUCAUUCUUUUUAAUUUAUAUUUAUUAAUAUAUUACAAGUUUAUUAACCACAUGCGAAAGAUUACUCGCUUGCCUCAGCCUAAUAAGGAGUGUUUCAAGCAGCUUUGUCCCGAUCUGGGAUGAAAAACUUGUGCAUUAUCGGUUAUAUUACAAUCAACCACGAGAUGAUUAAUGCAUUCGUGGAGAGAUGACACUCUGAGACCUCGUCAUUUCAUCUCCCGUUAGGUGAGAUGUCUAUCACACUCAACGAUGUGUCGUGUUUUCCGCAUCUUCCGAUCAGGGAGAAACUUUUAGAUCAUGGCAGGAGAUGGAUAGAACCAUAUGGGCUUAUGCUAGCUUUGAAUUCCUGAAAAAGUUAUGUACAUAUGAGCUCGAUGGAGCAGGGUAGGCUAGAGGUGAUGAAGAGCAUGUGGGGAUCUGUAGAGCGCAUGUUAUGAGAGUAUACCUGUUAUAUUUAGUUGGCACUGUGAUUUUUAUGGACAAGAGUCCCACUUAUACAGAGGGUUGUAGGUGGAAAAUGAAGCAAAUCACAAGUAACAUCACACUACUGGCGGUAAUAUUUAUUGGUCUUUUAAUGUUUUUAUUUCCUUUUCAUUUCAUCUUUACAAAUCCAUUACUGAUGAUUCGUAUGUUCCAAACUUUUUAGGCUUGAAUUCUUCAACAUUUCCUAAGCAUCUCCGGUUGGGCGAGUGUACCAACUUACAUUCAGGAUAUGUUAUAUGCUAUUAUAUUUUCCCUACUUAGAGGGAACCAGACGAUAGAUUCGUUCAGAGUGUAUCUUGACCGCUUUAUUUCUGAGGACAUGCACUUCAAUAGUUAUGACGAUCACGUUAAGACGCGACCAUUUUACGAGAUACUGUUAUACAAGGUGGCUUGCGGAUCACGUAUCACUUAUUCUCAUCUUGUCGAGCGCGUGAUACGGCAGUUCGGCUACACUCAGACCAAUCCCAGACACCAUGUUGUCUCUGCUCCUCCUACUUUGACACGUAGACAAAUGAAUGUCAUGUUUGAUGAUAAUGAGAGAGGCACGAAGUACCAUAGCUCAGAGUGACUAGAGCUACAUCGACGAAUACAUCAGAUGGUUCUUCAGGGUGUCACAUCUGUAUAUGGUGCAAGAUGCUCUAAGAGAUCCACCAAGGUCAGCUCAUCAAGAGAUACUGGAGGAGGAGCAGGAACAGUUAGAUCAUGUUGAGAAUAUCUUUCCUAGAUGUCAUCAUAUAAUGGAGAUUACGCAGGUAGACAUUGACAUAGGUAUCUUCCCGAUGGGUCUAAUGUGAGAAAGGUCAUAUAUGCCAUCUUAACGGAGGCAAGGGGGACAUUGAUGUACUUGAGACAGCGCUAGAGGACGGAGGGAUUGAUGGCCGAGGAGGCAGAGGAGUCAGAAGAGACAGAGGAGAUGUAGUCUGACAUAUAUAGUAGUGCAGUAGUAUAUAAUAGUUCUACUAUGGAUUCAUCGUGGAUUGUAUUUUAUUUUCAUCUCAUGUCACUUUAUUGUGUAUUUAAACUUUAUUUAUAUAUGACAUUUUUGGACCAUCUGGAUUUAUAUACGUUAUUUUUUUCAUAUCGAUUGUAUGGUUUGAAUCUCGUUACAUAACAUGAUACAUAACGUUUAUAAAUCUUCAUCUGAAUAAACAAAACAUAACAUGCACUGUUCUGGUAUAUUACGGAGAUGCAUCUCCGUAAAAUAACCGGUGAUGCAUCUCUGGUACAAUAUGUCUGUCAAAUGCCUUUCAAAAUUAAUGCGUGAUAUAUGACUUUUAAAAUAUUAUGAAGAUGUAUUUCUGAUUCAUUUAACGUUCUUUGAUGCGUGCGAAAAUAUAUCUCUAAAAUCUAAAAAUAUUUAAAUAUUUUUACGUGGUAUACUAAUAAAAGUACUAUAAGAUAUAUAAUACAUUAAGAAAUUUAGUCAAAUAUUACUAAAGGAUAUAUAAUACAUUAAGAAAUUUAGUCAAAUAUUACUAAAGGUUAUUUAUAGGAUGGGCUACCAAUGUGGAUGUUAUCCAUCUGUAUAAGCAACACCGACAAACAAUUAUGAGUCUAGCGGACAAUAUAAAAUUAUAUCCAUAUGAAAGUCAUAAUUAAAGAUUCACAUAUUUAAAUUGUACUAAAAAGCAUUUUCAUCACUGUCAUCAUAACUACGAAUUGUCCUUAAAUAAUGUUAAAAGAGGAACAUAUUGAUAAAGAGAACCUAAUUUCAAGAAAAGCUUACCAAGUAUGACUAAACGUGAUGAAAAUAAGGAUCGAAAAGUACUUACAUUUUCUUCAUACACAUUUAUUUCUAUAUAAAGUAAUCCCUCACAUGCAUCAAACACUCAUCAAUUAACAAUGGCUUCUUUUGCUACUCUUCUCUCUCUUCUCACAAUAGCCCUUCUGUCAUCUUCUUGCACAUCACAGUUCAUCUUACCAAUUGGAAAAGACCCAGUAACCAGUCUCUUCUACACCUCAAUCGGCAUAGGAACACCUCGACACAACUUUGAUGUAUUGAUUGAUCUUGGAGAAUCAAUGCUAUGGUAUGAAUGCAACAAUAACUACACUUCUUCAACCUUCAAUCCUCUCCCUUGUCAAUCCAAACUUUGCCCUUGGAAAAACCAAUGCACUGAAUGCAACGCCCCUUUGAGAUCACCAGGUUGCUCCAACA
rnacentral:lncRNA from 1 species